rnacentral:sRNA from 1 species
AUAUUCUAAUUGUAUUUGUGAGUGGUAAUAACUGGUUGUAAAUUGGUUUUUCUAGUAAGACUUUCUUCUUCCACACGUACCAAGCAUUAAUUACACAUAUUAUAUUUAAGAUUCCUUAAGGAGGAAGUUUUUACUAUGGAAAACGGCACAGUUAAAUGGUUUAACGCAGAAAAAGGCUAUGGCUUUAUCACUCGUCAAGAUGGCAGCGAUGUAUUCGUACAUUUCUCAGCUAUCCAAGGUGACGGCUACAAGUCUCUUGAAGAAGGUCAAGCAGUUUCAUUCGAUAUCGAAGAAAGCGAUCGCGGACCUCAAGCAGUUAACGUUAACAAACAAUAAUUUUUAAUUAUGUUUUGGUCAGCCUUUGGGCUGGCCUUU